rnacentral:rRNA from 1 species
UACAGAGGUCCCAAGCGUUGUUCGGAUUCACUGGGCGUAAAGGGUGCGUAGGUGGCGCGUUAAGUCAGGUGUGAAAUUUCGGAGCUUAACUCCGAAACUGCAUUUGAUACUGGCGUGCUUGAGGACUGGAGAGGAGACUGGAAUUCAUGGUGUAGCAGUGAAAUGCGUAGAGAUCAUGAGGAAGACCAGUGGCGAAGGCGGGUCUCUGGACAGUUCCUGACACUGAGGCACGAAGGCCAGGGGAGCAAACGGG